ACGAAAUAUAAUAGAUUGCCUCGUAUAAUUCCGGGAAUAUGGCCGGAAGUUUCUACCCGAAGACCGUAAAUUUUCGGACUACGAGAAAAUGCCUUGCUCGA
rnacentral:ncRNA from 1 species